GAGCAGCUCUCUGCCAUCUACCAGGACUCCUGAUUGUCUGGAGAGGUCCCAGAGGACUGGAGGCUUGCUGAUGUGACUCCCGUCUACAAGAAGGGCCAUAAGGAGGAUCUGGGGAACUACAGGCCUGUCAGCCUGACCUCCAUACCAGGGAAAGUUAUGGAGCAAAUCACCUUGGGUGAGAUCACACGGCACGUGCGUGGUGUCCAGGGGAUCAGGCCCAGCCAGCAUGGGUUCAUGAAAGGCAGGUUGUGCUUGACCAACCUCAUCUCAUUAGGGCAACAAAGCUGGUGAGGGGUCUGGAGCACAGGCCUUAGGAGGAGCGGCUGAAGGAGCUGAGAUUGUUCAGUCUAGAGAAGAGGAGGCUCAGGGGAGACCUUAUUGCUCUCUAUAACUACCUGAAGGGAGGUUGUAGUGAGCUGGGGGUCAGCCUCUCCUCUUGUGUGACUAGUGAUAGGACUAGAGGGAAUGGCUUCAAGCUGCGCCAGGGAAGAUUCAGGCUGGACGUUAGGAAAUACUGCUUCUCUGAAAGGGUGGUCAGGCACUGGAAUGGGCUGCCCAGAGAGGUGGUGGAGUCACCGACCCUGGUGGUGUUCAAAGGGAGUUUGGAUGUUGUGUUAAGGGACAUGGUUUAGCGGGAACCAUUGAUGAAGGGCGAAUGGUUGGACUGGGUGAUCCUGUGGGUCUUUUCCAACCUUAGCGAUUCUAUGAUUCUAUGAUUCUAUGAUCUCCUUCUACGACUGGGUGACCAGACUGGUAGAUGAGGGAAAGGCUGUUGAUGUAAUCUACCUAGACUUCAGCAAAGCCUUUGACAUGGUCUCUCACAGUAUUUUCCUGGGGAAACUGACUGCCUGUGCCCUGGACAGGUAUACCCUUCUUUGGGUAAGGAACUGGCUAGAGGGCCGUGCCCAACGAGUAGUGGGUAAUGGAGUUAAGUCCAGCUGGCAACCCAUUUCAAGUGGUGUCCCCCAGGGUCGGUACUGGGGCCCAUCUUGUUUAAUAUCUUUAUUGAUGACCUAGAUGAAGGGAUUGAGUGUACCCUCAGUAAGUUUGCAGAUGACAUCAAGUUGGGAGGUGGUGUUGAUCUGCCUGAGGGUAGGGAGGCCCUUCAGAGGGAUCUAGAUAAGCUGGACUGCUAGGCCGAGGUGAAUGGGAUGAGGUUCAACAAGGCCAAGUGUCGGGUCCUGCACUUUGGCCACAACAACCCCAUGCAGCGCUAUAGUCUUGGGGAUGAGUGGCUGGAUGACUGUGAAGAGGAAAGGGACCUGGGGGUGUUGGUGGAUGCUUGGCUGAACAUGAGCUGACAGUGUGCCCAAGUGGCCAACAGGGCCAAUGCCAUCCUGGCCUGCAUUAGAAAUAGUGUUCCCAACAGGAGCAGGGAGGUAAUCAUCCCCCUGUACUCAGCACUGGUGAGGCUGCACCUUGAGUACUGUGUUCAGUUUUGGGCCCCUCACUACAAGAAAGACAUUGAGACCCUGGAACAUGUCCAGAGAAGGGCAGUGAAACUGGUGAGGGGUCUGGAGCACGAGUCUUAUGAGGAGCAGCUGAGGGAGCUGGGAUUGUUCAGUCUGGAGUAGAGGAGGAUCAGAGGAGACCUCAUUGCACUCUACAACUUCCUGAAGGGAGAUUGAGAUGGGGGGGGGCUUUGGCCUCUUCUCCCAGACAACAAACAGGACCAGAGGAAAUGGCUGCAAGUUGCACCAGAAGAGGUAUAGAUUAGACAUAAGGAAAAGCUUUUUCUCUCAGUGAGCAGUCAGGCACUGGAACGGCCUGCCCAGAGAGGUGGUGGAGUCGCUGUCCCUGUCAGUGUUCAAGAGGUGUCUGGAUGAGGAGCUACAAGAUAUGGUUUAGUAGCUUGUGGUAGAAAGGGAAUGGGAGGACUGCUGGACUAGAUGAUCUUGUAAGUUUCCAACCUUGUGAUUUUAUGAUUCUAAGAUUCUACAAUUCUUUUGAACAUAAACAAAAAACAUAAUGACAUAC
ensembl:lncRNA